GGGAUAUGGGAGCAACGGUGGGGCAGCGGGAAAGCUACUGCCUCACCGCACCAGAGACCCGGGUUGGACCCUGACAACAAGUGCUAGUAUAUGUGCGGAAUGAGUACUUUGUCCCUGUGACCAGCGUGGGUUUUCUCUGGGAUCUCCUGUUUCCUACCACACUAGUAUCUGCGGAAUGAGUACUUUGUCCCUG